AUAACCCCCCGCUUUGACAUGUGGCUGAUAAAAUUUUUCUUCGCCAAAAGGGGUCUGAGCUUUGCCAGUCGAUCUCGGUUUCUCCAGUGUAAUUUAAUAUUGACGAAAGUUAUCCAACGGAGGUCAAACUUCUGCCGCACAACGAAAAUUUGCGAUCAACCUUAUUGUUGACCUUGGCAGAGGACAUACAGUUGCCUCUGAAAUUCUAUGUCGUGGCCUGGAUAGGCACAGACAUAUCCAUAUCGGAUGUCUUCAAGGAAAAUGAUUGACACACACACACACACACACUGAAUUCAACCGACACAUCAAUGCAUGCAGGCCUGUUGCAGCGAUGGAAAACCAAACUUGCUGUAACUGUAGAUAAAUAAGAUGUUAUGAAGAUUUGAGGUGAUGCUGAGGAUGGUUGUUAGUUGGAGUGGAGUUAAAAUAUGAAAAUACACUGAAGAUUGAUCAACAUGAAA